CAAAAAAACAUGAUUCUUUUAAGAAUGGCGAAUGAACAAAGACAUGGUCAUUUUGAAAAUUGUGGUCUUAGAUCAUGAAUUGUAUUUUCAAAAUGCAUUGCUAACACAACUGCGCAUGUUUGUUUAUUGGAAAGAACAUCACAAAGGGUGACAAUCCCAUGUGUCAUGUGUAUGUUUUGUGUACAGCGUGCAUUAUAUGAAUCACAUUCAUUGACAAUUGAAUGCAAAUAGAAUGGUAAAUUUCAUUUAAUCAUAAAUAUGUUGUUGACAACUUAUAGCAAACAAAUACCAUGAGGGAAAUGUGAAAAGGAUUUUGAAAAGAAAAUUAAAAGAGCUUGCAAUUGCUGAACUGAUAAGCAAACAAAACAUACGUGUGUAUGCAAGAUUGUUGUAAUGCUUAGCAUCUUAUGCAAGGCUAUUGCAAUGAUUUUUUGUAUAGUGAUGCUACCUUUUUUUAGAAUUUGGAAUGUCUUUUUUUGAGUGUGAAUGGAAUUUUGUUUGUUAGCAAAGGAAUGCACUUUUAGAUUCAUUGCUUGAUUUGAUUUAAAAAUGUUUGUGACACAUGUCUUUGUUUUGGUUUCAUGCUUCAACCAAGACAUUGUGUUUGAUCCAUGUCAGCAAUACAUGUUUUG
rnacentral:rRNA from 1 species